UGGGGAAUAUUGCACAAUGGGCGCAAGCCUGAUGCAGCCAUGCCGCGUGUAUGAAGAAGGCCUUCGGGUUGUAAAGUACUUUCAGUCGGGAGGAAGGUGUCAAGGUUAAUAACCUUGGCAAUUGACGUUACCGACAGAAGAAGCACCGGCUAACUCCGUGCCAGCAGCCGCGGUAAUACGGAGGGUGCAAGCGUUAAUCGGAAUUACUGGGCGUAAAGCGCACGCAGGCGGUUGAUUGAGUCAGAUGUGAAAUCCCCGGGCUUAACCCGGGAAUUGCAUCUGAUACUGGUCAGCUAGAGUCUUGUAGAGGGGGAUAGAAUUCCAUGUGUAGCGGUGAAAUGCGUAGAGAUGUGGAGGAAUACCGGUGGCGAAGGCGGCCCCCUGGACGAAGACUGACGCUCAGGUGCGAAAGCGUGGGGAGCAAACAGG
rnacentral:rRNA from 1 species